CGUCCCGUCGGCGCGGCCGUCGUCGCGCUCGUCGGCCGUCUCGGGGUGUUAGUUACCGGCACGUCGGCCGGACGUAUUGUCGGCAGGCGGACACGUGUCUCGUGCUUCUGGCGCGCCGCGCGGCCACGCGUCGCGCGGCCGUCGGAGUCCGACGACGGCGGCCGCCUACUCCAAUCUUGCUGCGCGGUGCUCUUCACCGAGUGCCGUCGGCGGGCCGACACGUUUACUUUGAACAAAUUAGAGUGCUCAAAGCAGGCUCAAAUCUGGCGGGGCGGCUUCGCGGCCGUCUCGUCAAAAGGCCCUGAAUACUGGUCGCAUGGAAUAAUGGAACAAGACCUCGGUCCCGCGCAUCUCCGCCCUUCGCGGGCGCGCGAAACCGCCCUCCGGGGCGUUUCCGUGCGCGGGCCGCCGGGCCGCGGGCGCCAGUCGCCCGCGCGUCCCGCCGGGCCGGUUUUCGGGACCGGAGGUAAUGAUCAACAGAGACGGGCGGGGGCAUUCGUACCGAGACGUUAGAGGUGAAAUUCUUGGAUCGUCUCGAGACGAACUGACGCGAAAGCAUUUGCCAAGUACGUUCUCGUAUGAUCAAGAACGAAAGUUAGAGGUUCGAAGGCGAUCAGAUACCGCCCUAGUUCUAACUGUAAACGAUGCCAGCUAGCGAUCCGCCGGCGUUUCAUUAACGACCCGGCGGGCAGCUUCCGGGAAACCGAAGCUUUUCGGUUCCGGGGGAAGUAUGAUUGCAAAGUUGAAACUUAAAGGAAUUGACGGAAGGGCACCACCAGGAGUGGAGCCUGCGGCUUAAUUUGACUCAACACGGGAAACCUCACCAGGCCCGGACACCGGAAAGAUUGACAGAUUGAGAGCUCUUUCUUGAUUCGGUGGGUGGUGGUGCAUGGCCGUUCUUAGUUGGUGGAGCGAUUUGUCUGGUUAAUUCCGAUAACGAACGAGACUCUGUCCUGCUAACUAGGCGGGUAAACCCGGGCCGGCGGUGGGCGCGGCGCGGGCGGUUUCGGCCGUCCGCGUUCGCGUCUCCGUCGGCUCGGCCCGGUAUCCCCGAACGCGUUCGCCCGUCGUCCACGGCGGUCGUCGGGCGCGGCCGCGCCAUCCGCGUCCCGGCGUGCGGCGGGCGUGUUUCGGCCGGGGGGCAACCUCCGGUCGGCGCGCGUCAGUCGUGCGUCGGGCUCCGCGGUGAAGCGCGCCGCGUCCGCGGCCGUC
rnacentral:rRNA from 1 species